GAUUCGUGAGGGAAGGAGUGUAGAGGAGGUGGUUUCAGUGCUUAUUGGACUUGUUCUGGUUAAUGCUAACAUAUAUAGAAGCUUAUAUGUGAUGAUAGGUUAUGGUUUCAGUGGUUCUUGUAGAUUUAAACUAAAGGGACUGGUUAUUUAGUGGUUUUCGCAAACCUCAGUUGUUUAAAGCUUUGGACAUGAGAAGCCCUUUACUUUCUGUUAUUUGUGGCCGUAGACUGCCGGUCUGUUGGUUGUUAUUGUGCUUUGCCUGCUUGCUUGUGCUGAUUGCAGUCUUUGGAUCGACAUUUUCUAAUUCCUUUGACUCCAUAACUUUCAUCCCGGUACCUGAGAUUUAUUCAAACUAUAGAAGGUUAAAGGAGCAAGUGGCAGUUGAUUAUUUUCAGCUGAGAACUGUCUCGUCGGGAGCUGGUCGUCAAGAGGAACUUGGCUUUUGCGGAAAAGAAAGAGAAAAUUAUGUUCCUUGUUACAAUGUGACGGAAAACUUAUUGUUAGGGUUUAAAGACGGAGAGGAGUUUGAUCGGCAUUGUGAAGUAUCAAGCCAAGGAAAGUUUUGUUUAGUCCGCCCACCAAAGGAUUACAAGAUUCCACUUCGUUGGCCUGCUGGUAGGGAUGUAAUAUGGAGUGGGAAUAUCAAGAUAACCAAAGACCAAUUCCUUUCGUCUGGAAGCAUAACAAAGAGAAUGAUGUUGCUCGAAGAGAAUCAAAUUGCUUUCCACUCUCAAGACGGCUUAAUCUUUGAUGGUGUCAAAGAUUAUACUCGCCAGAUUGCAGAGAUGAUGGGACUGGGAAGUGACUCUGAAUUUUUUCAAGCUGGCGUACGCACUGUUCUUGAUAUUGGUUGUGGAUUUGGAAGUUUUGGAGCUCAUUUAGUUUCACUAAGGUUGAUGGCUCUUUGUGUUGCUGCAUAUGAGGCAACUGGAAGCCAAGUCCAAAUAGCUCUUGAGAGAGGUCUUCCAGCAAUGAUUGGAAAUUUCAUAUCAAGACAACUACCAUAUCCAUCAUUAUCAUUUGACAUGGUUCAUUGUGCGCAGUGCGGUAUUGUUUGGGACAAGAAAGAGGGGAUGUUUCUUAUAGAAUUUGAUCGGUUACUCAAGCCUGGAGGUUAUUUUGUUAUAACCUCACCCAUAAGUAAGUCACAUGGACGUGCAACAAGUAAGAAGAAAAGAAGCAUGUUAACACCACUGGCUGAAUUCACUGAAAAAAUUUGUUGGAGUCUUAUUGCUCAGCAAGAUGAGACAUUCAUCUGGCAGAAAACUGCUGAUGUUCACUGCUAUUCUUCUCUCAAGAAGAAUGAUGUGCUCCUAUGUAAAGAAGGACAUGACGCUCACUAUUAUCAAACCUUUAUGCCAUGUAUUAUUGGAGCUUCCAGCAAACGCUGGAUUCCUAUUCAGAACAAGUCUUCUAGCUCAUAUUUGAGCUCUGCAGAGCUUGAAGUUCAUGGAGUCAGUCCGGAAGAUUUCUUUGAAGACUUGCAAGUUUGGAAAUUAGCUUUAAAAAACUAUUGGUCUUUGCUUACACCAUUAAUUUUCUCUGACCAUCCCAAGAGGCCAGGUGAUGAAGACCCAUUGCCUCCAUUUAAUAUAGUACGCAAUGUGAUGGACAUGAAUGCUCAUUAUGGGGGUUUAAAUGCUGCAUUCUUGGAGGAAAUGAAAUCUGUGUGGGUGAUGAAUGUUGUGCAUGUUAGGGCACGGAAUACACUUCCUCUCAUUCUUGACCGAGGCUUUCCUGGUGUUUUGCAUGACUGGUGUGAACCCUUUCCUACAUAUCCUCGAACAUAUGACCUGCUUCAUGCGGAUGGGCUCCUCUCAUAUCUUACUUCAGAGUGGUGCAGUUUGAUGGAAUUAUUUGUAGAGAUGGAUCGAAUUCUGCGUCCUGAGGGCUGGGUUGUGAUCUCUGAUAAACUAGGAGUUAUAGAAUUGGCCCGUGCACAUGCUAUACAAGUACGAUGGGAUACAAGGGUGAUUGACAUUCAGAAUGGUAAUGAUCGUCGGCUACUUGUUUGUCAGAAACCAUUCAUGAAAAGAUGAUUGAUCUAGCACCAGAAGGUCUCAAGGCGACAGACGUCAUCUUCGAUUUUUGAACUGGAGAUGAACACUCUCGGCGGCAUCGCCAGAAACGCUCUGGAAUUCUCGACAGGGUUUUUGAUAUUUAAUGACUGGACAAUGAGCAUGGA